CCUACGGGAGGCAGCAGUGAGGAAUAUUGCACAAUGGGCGAAGCCUGAUGCAGCAACGCCGCGUGAGGGACGAAGGCCUUCGGGUCGUAAACCUCUUUUCUGGGGGAAGAGAUCAGGACGGUACCUCAGGAAUAAGUCUCGGCUAACUACGUGCCAGCAGCCGCGGUAAAACGUAGGAGGCGAGCGUUAUCCGGAUUUACUGGGCGUAAAGCGCACGCAGGCGGCUCCGUUAGUCGGACGUGAAAGCUCCUGGCUUAACUGGGAGAGGCCGUUCGAUACUGCGGGGCUUGAGGUUGGGAGAGGGGUGUGGAAUUCCCGGUGUAGUGGUGGAAUGCGUAGAGAUCGGGAGGAACACCUGUGGCGAAAGCGGCACCCUGGCCCACACCUGACGCUGAGGUGCGAAAGCGUGGGUAGCAAACAGGAUUAGAUACCCUGGUAGUCCACGCUGUAAACGAUGUCAACUAGGUGUCGGUGGUUUUACACCAUCGGUGCCGUAGCAAACGCGUUAAGUUGACCGCCUGGGGACUACGGCCGCAAGGCUAAAACUCAAAGGAAUUGACGG
rnacentral:rRNA from 1 species